GCCCCUUUGGCGCGGCCGAUGUGCGGCCGCUGCGCUCGGCCACGGUGCAGCGCCUGGUGCCGGCCCUGUUCCAGCUGGGCGAACCGGCA
rnacentral:tRNA from 1 species